UACGGAGGGGGCUAGCGUUGUUCGGAAUUACUGGGCGUAAAGCGCACGUAGGCGGCUUUGUAAGUUAGAGGUGAAAGCCCGGGGCUCAACUCCGGAACUGCCUUUAAGACUGCAUCGCUUGAAUUGUGGAGAGGUAAGUGGAAUUCCGAGUGUAGAGGUGAAAUUCGUAGAUAUUCGGAAGAACACCAGUGGCGAAGGCGACUUACUGGACACAUAUUGACGCUGAG
rnacentral:rRNA from 1 species